rnacentral:ncRNA from 1 species
CACUUUAAAAAGUUUAAGAGCUGUGGCGGAGAAUGGGACAAGUCUUUUUGAUAAUAAAAAUGAUGGAGAGGAAGUUACAUCACUUUGAAAAAAAAGAUGAUCUAAUCAUAAGGCUAUUAAGUGUUGAUAUUGGUGCUCUUAGCUGAGUGUGCGCAGGACUUGCGACGUUUACUUUGAAAAAAUUAGAGUGUUCAAAGCAGGCCAUCGCUUGAAUACAUAAGCAUGGAAUAAUGGAAUAGGACUUUGGUUCUAUUUUGUUGGUUUCUGGAACCGGAGUAAUGAUUAAGAGGGACAGUUGGGGGCAUUCGUAUUUCGUUGUCAGAGGUGAAAUUCUUGGAUUUACGAAAGACGAACUACUGCGAAAGCAUUUGCCAAGAAUGUUUUCAUUAAUCAAGAACGAAAGUUAGAGGAUCGAAGACGAUCAGAUACCGUCCUAGUUCUAACCAUAAACGAUGCCGACUAGGGAUCAGAGAGUGUUAUUGGAUGACCUCUUUGGCACCUUAUGGGAAACCAAAGUUUUUGGGUUCCGGGGGAAGUAUGGUUGCAAAGCUGAAACUUAAAGGAAUUGACGGAAGGGCACCACCAGGAGUGGAGCCUGCGGCUUAAUUUGACUCAACACGGGGAAACUCACCAGGUCCAGACAUAGGAAGGAUUGACAGAUUGAGAGCUCUUUCUUGAUUCUAUGGGUGGUGGUGCAUGGCCGUUC